GGGAGAAAUAAGGACGGCUCUGUGCUCUCUGAGCGGGAUGAGACAGUUUUAAGAUGGAUUGUAAAGAAAGAUGUCUGAAACAAACAAGGAGAAGCAGCCAAAGGUAGUGGAUUGUUAACCAACUGGUUAAGAGAGAGUAUAACAGAGUGUCUUCAGUCAGAGGCUUCUUCAGAUUUGCUGUAAGACGGAGCGCUACAAGAG